AGCGAACGCUGGCGGCAGGCUUAACACAUGCAAGUCGAACGCAUCACUUCGGUGGUGAGUGGCAGACGGGUGAGUAACACGUGGGAACGUACCCUUCGAUCUGGGAUAACUUCGGGAAACUGGAGCUAAUACCGGAUACGCCCUUUUGGGGAAAGGUUUACUGUCGAAGGAUCGGCCCGCGUCUGAUUAGCUAGUUGGUGGGGUAACGGCCUACCAAGGCGACGAUCAGUAGCUGGUCUGAGAGGAUGAUCAGCCACACUGGGACUGAGACACGGCCCAGACUCCUCCGGGAGGCAGGAGUGGGGAAUAUUGGACAAUGGGCGCAAGCCUGAUCCAGCCAUGCCGCGUGAGUGAUGAAGGCCUUAGGGUUGUAAAGCUCUUUUGUCCGGGACGAUAAUGACGGUACCGGAAGAAUAAGCCCCGGCUAACUUCGUG
rnacentral:rRNA from 1 species